rnacentral:rRNA from 1 species
UACAGAGGUCUCAAGCGUUGUUCGGAUUCAUUGGGCGUAAAGGGUGCGUAGGCGGCGCGGUAAGUCGGGUGUGAAAUCGCGGAGCUUAACUCCGAAACUGCAUUCGAUACUGCCGUGCUUGAGGACUGGAGAGGAGACUGGAAUUUACGGUGUAGCGGUGAAAUGCGUAGAUAUCGUAAGGAAGACCAGUGGCGAAGGCGGGUCUCUGGACAGUUCCUGACGCUGAGGCACGAAGGCCAGGGGAGCAAACGGG